rnacentral:misc_RNA from 1 species
CUAGCAGGCCGGAGCCACACAGAAGGUUGUAAUGUGUCGCGACUGUGUCGCGGCGUGUUGCACAUCCGGACCGACUCAUUUUCGCGGCGGUCGCGCGACGAGCUGCUGUUUGUCAUCGUCGUCGUCGGGCGAAAAUGCGCUUAAUUCCCUGCUUUUCUACCACUGCUGUAUAUACAUAUACGUCAGAAUUCGGUAAAAAGAAGGUCAAUGGGCAUCCCUUCGAAAAGUUCUCGAACAGGAAACACGAACGAGGCAAAAACGAGGCAACUUUUCGACAGAAUGUAUUCAUUCGUGGUUUCGAUCGAGGGUGACGUUGUGGCCGUCGAACCGUGAAUCCUUACCGAGUCGGCUCCCAGGAGCUUGCUACUGACAAUUUAAUGAAACAAGACGUCGUGCUUCGACAAACACGCGACGAAAAGCCAAUCACCCUGACGGAAUUAAUGCUUCUCCUCUUAGGAUGCAAUUAUCGGACGAUACUGGCGAUCGCCUUAACGCAGUUGAAGGAUGUAUAACGAGACAAUUGUUGUUGAUUUUUCUCUCCUUUCAGAAGAAUGAAAUUUCAUAAAAUAUAUGCUAGUAUUCUUAUCGAAUAGAUAUCAAUUUUUGAUAGGAAAAAUAUUUAUUGUUUUCGACAUUUUGUUUUAUGGACGUUAUCUGUAAUUAACAGGAAUUCCAGUACUGGGAUAUGCAAAUAUAUUUUAGUAUUUUCAUUGAAUUGGUUUUAAUUAUUUCCUUAUUGAUGAUAUUCGAGGACAACGUUAUUUACGUAAUGAUAGUUCUAUAUAUAAUACAUAUCGAUUAUACGUAGUUUGAGAAAUGCAAUAUUGUUGACAACUGUAAAGGAUAAAAUGCAAUAAAUGUCAAUGUACAUAAUAUCUUUUUGAUUGCUUAUAGAUUCCAUAUCCUUUUUGAUACUAAAUCGCUCAUUUGAUAUAACGUAUCAAGCUUCAUUAUUCAUUCUACUGAAUAAUAUUCUGUUUGCAUUUUAACCGUCUAGAUAAUCUUUUUCUGAUACUAUAUAUGUAUAAUAUUUCGAAAUGAGUAAUACUUUCAAUAUUUUAAUAAACUCUGCUACUGCUUUUUACGUAACUUGUAAAGUAUCUUCUAUCGUACAUUUUCUCUGUAUUGACAUUACACGAAAGGAAGAUGGUACAUGUAAUAUCAAUUUCAUGUUAAACCAA